rnacentral:lncRNA from 1 species
AUGUUGUCCACGCUCCAGAAAUCUGGGCGUGAGGGGGGUGUUGAGUUGUCCCACAUCGGAGGUAUUUGAGGUCCUUGGUCUCUUUAUAUGGUUUGGGCAAUCCUCACCUCAUAACAGAAGAGAAAAAAAGGCAUCAAGAAUGGCACAAGAGAAGUUCAUAGUAGAAGUUGAACCAGCAAAACCUUCCCAAAAUGGAAAGCCAUCAAUGGGUGCUGUUUAU